rnacentral:rRNA from 1 species
AUGGGGUGGUCGACUGCAACCCGGCCGCGUAUGGGCGUCGCUGCCCUAGACGACGUGGUCGCGGCCACACUGGCGCGCAAGAGUCAGAGAGCGCCGGCCACUCCCCCAGGCAGCGGCCGCUUCCACCGGCUCGAGGUGAUCGGCGCAGGAACGUUUGGCGUCGUCUACCGGGCCAGGGACCGCCGCACAGGAGAGAUCGUGGCGAUGAAGUGUCUUCGUGCGAGCGACGGCGGCGACGCAGGCCGCUACCUCUCCGACUUCGCGGCCGAGGUCAGCGCCCUCGAGGCGUGCAGCCGGCACCCGUCCAUCGUGCAGCCACGCGCCUCCGGCCACCUCGACAGCGAGGCCUUCCUUGCCAUGGAGUUUGUGGGGCCAACUCUUAGGUACGUCAUGAAGCAUGUCCGAUUCGGGAGGAGGCACACUGAGUUGGAGGUUCGCGUGCUCAUGAGACAACUUUGCGCCGGCGCGAGGAGGAUCAAUCGCCUCGGUCUGAUGCACCGUGACUUGAAGCCAGAUAACGUGCUUGUCGACAGCCAUGGGAACCUCAAGAUCUGCGACCUAGGGCUGUCGUGCAGCGUGGCUGAUGGGCCGCCCUACUCCAGCCCCGUCGGGACACGGGGAUACCGCGCGCCAGAGCUCCUUCUUGGGUGCACGGAUUGGGCCAAUAGCUCAUGUGCGACGUUUUUGAGGUGA